UAUUGCCUACUGCACACCUAGGCUAUAUGGUAUAGCCCAUUACUCCUAGGCUACAAACCUGGACAGCAUGUUACUGCAUGGGAUACUACAGGCAAUUGUAACAAAA